rnacentral:tRNA from 3 species
GGUGGGAUGCCGGAGAUGGUUUAACGGGCAGCUCUCGAAAAGCUUGCAGGUCGAAAGAUCUACGUGAGUUCGAAUCUCACUCCCACCGCCA